rnacentral:lncRNA from 1 species
CCAAAUGAAUUGCCUAAUCCUGAAGAUGUAACGAGCAAUUUGGGAAAAUAAAUUUGUCGUAAUCUUUUACGGUUGCGAAGGAAUAGUGGCCACAAGAAAAAUAGUGUUUGGGGAGAUAACUCUUACAACGUUAAGUAUGUUGUUACGCGGUUGUAAAAUUUUAAAGCGUAUAAACUAUACGACAUCAUAUUCCAAAUAUCUAAGCGACGUCUUUCGAAACAUCAAUACUACGCAAGAAAAAAUUUAGGCGG